UACGUAGGGGGCGAGCGUUGUCCGGAUUUAUUGGGCGUAAAGAGCGUGUAGGCGGCCAGGUAGGUCUGCUGUGAAACUCGAGGCUCAACCUCGAGACGUCGGCGGAAACCAUCUGGCUAGAGUCCGGAAGAGGAGAGUGGAAGUUCCGUGGUGUAGCGGUGAAAUGCGCAGAUAUCAGGAGGAACACCGGUGGCGAAGGCGGGUCUCUGGGCCGAUACUGACGCUGAGGAGCGAAAGCGUGGGGAGCGAACAGG
rnacentral:rRNA from 1 species